AGAGUUUGAUCCUGGCUCAGGAUGAACGCUGGCGGCGUGCUUAACACAUGCAAGUCGAACGGUGAACACGGAGCUUGCUCUGUGGGAUCAGUGGCGAACGGGUGAGUAACACGUGAGCAACCUGCCCCUGACUCUGGGAUAAGCGCUGGAAACGGCGUCUAAUACUGGAUAUGUGACGUGAUCGCAUGGUCUGCGUCUGGAAAGAAUUUCGGUUGGGGAUGGGCUCGCGGCCUAUCAGCUUGUUGGUGAGGUAAUGGCUCACCAAGGCGUCGACGGGUAGCCGGCCUGAGAGGGUGACCGGCCACACUGGAACUGAGACACGGCCCAGACUCCUACGGGAGGCAGCAGUGGGGAAUAUUGCACAAUGGGCGCAAGCCUGAUGCAGCAACGCCGCGUGAGGGACGACGGCCUUCGGGUUGUAAACCUCUUUUAGCAGGGAAGAAGCGACAGUGACGGUACCUGCAGAAAAAGCGCCGGCUAACUACGUGCCAGCAGCCGCGGUAAUACGUAGGGCGCAAGCGUUAUCCGGAAUUAUUGGGCGUAAAGAGCUCGUAGGCGGUUUGUCGCGUCUGCUGUGAAAUCCGGAGGCUCAACCUCCGGCCUGCAGUGGGUACGGGCAGACUAGAGUGCGGUAGGGGAGAUUGGAAUUCCUGGUGUAGCGGUGGAAUGCGCAGAUAUCAGGAGGAACACCGAUGGCGAAGGCAGAUCUCUGGGCCGUAACUGACGCUGAGGAGCGAAAGGGUGGGGAGCAAACAGGCUUAGAUACCCUGGUAGUCC
rnacentral:rRNA from 1 species